rnacentral:misc_RNA from 1 species
GAAAUUCUUCUUUCACUCGCCGGAUUUCUUCAACGUCGCUGACCGGAGAACCGACUCUUUGCGAUCGAGGUUUCAUCCAUGGCUACGUUGGAUACCGAUGUUCCUAUGGUUCCCGCUGGUGAGGCUUCAAGUAGUGCUGGCCCUUCGUCAUCCAAAAAACCUAAGCGAUUCGAGAUCAAAAAGUGGAAUGCUGUCGCUCUCUGGGCUUGGGAUAUUGUUGUCGAUAACUGUGCAAUUUGUAGGAAUCACAUAAUGGAUCUUUGUAUUGAAUGUCAGGCGAAUCAAGCGAGUGCCACUAGUGAGGAAUGUACUGUCGCUUGGGGGGUAUGCAACCAUGCUUUUCACUUCCACUGCAUUAGUCGUUGGUUGAAGACUCGCCAAGUUUGUCCAUUGGAUAACAGUGAAUGG